rnacentral:ncRNA from 1 species
UAUCAGUAUCAAGAAUUUCUAAUUAAAUUUAGAAAACCAACCGAGUCGAAACGCUACGGUGGUCAAAAGAUGCGGGCUGUUCUAAAGUCAAAAAUGUUUUGUUUU